rnacentral:rRNA from 1 species
UAACACAUGCAAGUCGAACGAUGAUGCCCAGCUUGCUGGGUGGAUUAGUGGCGAACGGGUGAGUAACACGUGAGUAACCUGCCCCUGACUCUGGGAUAAGCGUUGGAAACGACGUCUAAUACUGGAUAUGAUCACUGGCCGCAUGGUCUGGUGGUGGAAAGAUUUUUUGGUUGGGGAUGGACUCGCGGCCUAUCAGCUUGUUGGUGAGGUAAUGGCUCACCAAGGCGACGACGGGUAGCCGGCCUGAGAGGGUGACCGGCCACACUGGGACUGAGACACGGCCCAGACUCCUACGGGAGGCAGCAGUGGGGAAUAUUGCACAAUGGGCGAAAGCCUGAUGCAGCAACGCCGCGUGAGGGAUGACGGCCUUCGGGUUGUAAACCUCUUUUAGUAGGGAAGAAGCGAAAGUGACGGUACCUGCAGAAAAAGCACCGGCUAACUACGUGCCAGCAGCCGCGGUAAUACGUAGGGUGCAAGCGUUGUCCGGAAUUAUUGGGCGUAAAGAGCUCGUAGGCGGUUUGUCGCGUCUGCUGUGAAAUCCCGAGGCUCAACCUCGGGCUUGCAGUGGGUACGGGCAGACUAGAGUGCGGUAGGGGAGAUUGGAAUUCCUGGUGUAGCGGUGGAAUGCGCAGAUAUCAGGAGGAACACCGAUGGCGAAGGCAGAUCUCUGGGCCGUAACUGACGCUGAGGAGCGAAAGCAUGGGGAGCGAACAGGAUUAGAUACCCUGGUAGUCCAUGCCGUAAACGUUGGGCGCUAGAUGUAGGGACCUUUCCACGGUUUCUGUGUCGUAGCUAACGCAUUAAGCGCCCCGCCUGGGGGAGUACGGGCCGCAAGGCUAAA